GCCAGCUCUUGGCUUGUGGUGAUGCACCAGUGUGUAUUGGCUGUGACAAAGCUGCCUCAGGAACCUGCAUUUCUGAAAAGUCCAGUGGAAAGAGCAUGCAAAGGAAGAAAUGGCAGGUGUAAAUUUUUUCUUGUAGCCUGCAAAGGUGUAGCUCUGGUUGAUCCUCAGGUGAGUUGAGAAGUGAGAGCAGUUUUCAGAACAGUGCACCUGGCUCCUGGAACUCAGAUCAGCCCUUUGGGCUGUGCCUAGCCAAGGAACAGAGCAAUAAUCCCUUGUUGGUCUCCACAGACCUGUAUCACAGAGGGGUAACGCAAGGUGCAGUGGUGUGCCUGGGGCCAUACAGCAAAUCUGUGGCAGAAUCAGGGUUAGAAAUGAGGAACUUCAGGUUCCCGAUUCAACCAUGGCUUUCAUAUAACUGGUGAGUGUUUCCCAUCUUCAAUUCAAAGAUGGCAAUUCAAUGUAGAGAGCCUUGUGUCCUGUCUACUCUUUGUUCUGCUCUGUUCACACAUUGCUGAAGGAGAGCUGUAAACCUGUCAAAGUGCGUGUUGUCAAUAGCAUGUUUAGCUCAGUGAGCUGAUCUGGGGUGUCUGCCCAGGGACUUGCUGGGAUUCUGGAUGGGUGUAAAUAUCUACCCACAGAUAGCCUCUUGCAGGCCCAGAGCUCAAUAGACUACCUGAGCAAAUGGUGAGCCUCAUCACAGAUGAAGUAAAAGAAGUGCACAAAGGAAAAAUUAAUUCUAGGUCCUAUCAGUUUUAGGAAUCUCUGGUUCUGUUUAUAAUAAUAGAAUAUUUAUAGGCUUUCUUGGUGGAUUAUAGACUUUCUUGGUGGAGAUGUUUUACUAGAGUACGGUUUGUUGGGGGGGGUCUAUUGGCAUAGAGACAGCAUACACAGGGCUGGGAAAAAAAUGUGGAAAAUAAAAGCUGAAAAAAAGGCCAGACCCAGCAACUUUCCAUUAAAGACCCUGCCAGCCAGAAGCCUGUUAAAGGGACUCUGGCUGGCUGUUCUAUUAAGUGUGACAAAGUGAUGGGAGGUGAGGGGGAGCUCCUAUGUUAAUAAGUUGGAAAGGCACCGCCGUUCCUCUCACCGGAGCGUCUCAGUGAAAGUGGAAUUAAUUCAUGGCAUAUGCUCCCAGCAUCUGCCGCGGUGACCCGGAGUGGCGGGAGCGCGGCGCCAGGCAGCGCGAGCCAGAGCCCAUAUUCCCCGCUCCUCUCCUGGGCCUUGCUCGCCGCCUGCCCAUGGCUGAGCGUGGGGAUGGCAUGGCCGCUCCGGCUGAGCGCGCACACCCAGCCACCCGCCCGUCAGCUGGCCUGGGUGGGAUGUUGAUGGCCGUGGCCAGAGUCUUUCUCCCUCUGAAGAAGGAGACAUGCUCUAGACUUGGGAGGUAGAAGGGGUUGUUUGGAUAGAAAAGAGACUGAUUCGAAUGGAAACUAAUGAAGUUUGUCCCAAACAGCCUUAAUUCCUCCUGUAGCAUUCCCUGACCAAGUCCUUCCUUCUCCAGCCAUCUGACUUGUUCUGUGGCUUGCUGUGAGGCUCUGACUAACUCAGUCUCCCUCUUCUUUCCCACUGCAUCUCUGCAGAUGAUUUGAUCCUCUCCUCGACAGAGGGCACAGAGGUUGUAUUUGCUGUUAGGUGGGAUUUCAUUCUCUGUUUAAUGGCUCCCGGGAAAUGAUUUUUGACACCUUCUUUCCCCUUGACUGACCUGCAGCGUGGCCAGGAGCUGUAUCCAGCCAGUACAGAGUCCCCAAAAUCAAGCUUUUCUGCUGAGCUCAGUGGAAGAGGACCACAAAGCAGGGAUGGGAAAUCUUCUCCAUGCUGAGAGAUGCACAGGUCAUUCAGAAAGCCUUUGGUAAGUCACACAGUACCACAUUGCCUUAAGAUUAACCAAGCACAUGCUGGGUUUUUUUUUCUUUUUUAAGUCACAUGAUGGUCAAGAGCCUUUAACGAAAUUGUGGACCCUUUCUGUCCCAGGGACUGUAGGUUCUUGUCACAGGGUACCCCAGCCCCAACACGCUUAGUUCUUAAUCGAGUGGGACUGGUUGCGGCGAAAAGUCUGUGACGGCUUCUUGUGACAUAAGACAGGCACAGAGAGAGCUUUGUAAGAUGCCUAUGGCUUGCAUGACAUGCAAUUGAGUAUGACCAGUUUGGAGAAUAAUGUUCAGUAUAGGCAACGUCACAUUAGGCAAACAGAUCUGGAAUAUGUGUGUGGGUCUGAAACAUCCAUCCUUAACUUCUCAGUUAAAUGGGGGUUUUUGCUUGCAUAAAGUGGAUAUGUAUCUUGGUCAUACUGGAUACACAGCUUUCCUUGGCUGGAGGUGUCUCUGUGCCAUAUAAAGCAUACCUAUAUCUCACCAGCUGAGUGGGUUCUGUCCUGUCGGGCCCAUGGAUCUGUUUGUCUAUCUGUACAACGUGCACACGCACUAGUGAUGGCUGAGGUUGGAAGUAUUUAUGGCAAUUAAAAUGUUUUGCCUGGAAGCUGUUUUGGGGCUUUUUUGAAGUGAGGAUUUUCAGACUUCAAGGUGUUAACAGCCCCUCUAAACGGUUUUGUUUUUUAAUUGCAGCAAAUGACUGUGGAGCCAUUAAACAUUCGCCUCUCUGCAGUUGUUUCUAAGCCCUUUCAGUCCUUCUUCUAUUUAUUCUGUUUAAUUCAGUCAGGUAGCUUCGGGGCAGUGAAGAUCAAUACUUUACUUUGAUAGAAAAGAGUCAGGUUUGAAACAUAGAGAUAAAACUGACACAUUUUGUAUAAAUUUAAUUAAAAAUGCACCUUUAGUGGCUUGUUGCAAGCACAAAGCCAGCCUUCCAUCUAGCUAUCUCUCUGUCUCACUCUCUGUCUCUCUCUUCCCUUUCUUGUUCCUAACAGGAAGAUCUCUGAAUCUGCCUCACCAACAAAGCACCUCGUUUUAUGAUUUUUGUCUUGAAAGUUUAGCACUGAGGGAGCAGGAUGGAAGGGAUGUGAAAUUCUAAACAGACCUUCCGCUCUCUCUCUGGUCCCUCUCCUUUUGGUGGUGGUGGCUGGGGGGACGGGGAAGGAGCCGGCUCCCUGGUGGGGGAAGGAGGGCGAUGAGGCAAAAUGAUUUUUUUUUUUUUUUUUUUUUUUUAAACCCAGCAGAUUGGACACCCUGGGGCACUUUCCAUUUGGAUCUGUAGCUCUCCUCCACUCCCGCCCCCCUCUUCUUGCUUUGUUAAACUGAGAAUUAUUUUUCUGACUACAUGUGCAUCCCUGAUCCCACUAGGAUAGUGCUGGCCACAAGGCAGUGUCUUUAUUCUCUCUUUCUUUUUCCUCCCCUGCCCCCCCUCAUUUCUUCCCUCUCCCUCUUUCCCUAACCCUGCUGCCAGUGGGGACAUUUGUCUUGUGUUUUAUAAUCUGGCCCCUUCACCCCCUUCCCCUGCAUGUCUCUCUUUCUCUCUUUCUCAAUCCUGUUUGGCUCGGUUCAUUUUUCACUUGAGUGCCUUUCCUCCCAGACUCCCCUCUGCUCCGGCCUCCCUCUGCUCAACACCAAUAAAACACGCACAACACAGGUAGAACAAGGUGCCAGGGCUCAGCGUGACAAACGGCUCACACACUACUCAAUAACCACAGCUGUAAAUUGCCCCCUCCUCACCCUCCGCCAGCUCCUGGGAACGGCAGCUCGGUCAGGCCCACAUGAAGUAUGCUGCCCCACCACAGGGUGGGAUGGAGAAGACCAGCGGGAGUUUGGACACCAGCCACUGCUGGGGCAGAGACCUUUCCAGCGCUGUCAUUUGGGGUUGUGAGAUUUAAUGUCCCUGUUUCACUCCCCCGUGGGGCCAUGCAGCCAGAGGGGCCCCAGGGACUUGUUGGAAAAUAGGGGGUGUGCAGCAAGGGGGUGCAAACUGCCUUUCUGACCUACAAACAACCUAUUUAAGUAAUAUUUUGCGGCCAAGAGUCUCAAGACUCAUUCCACCCAUGCAGGCUCUUGGGAGGGUUUUAAAGGGGAAGAAUGACAGUGUCUUCCCGAGGGUCCCUCUGUUCCCAGGGGACAGAGCUGGGCUGGCAGCUCUGGCUGGGCACCACAUCACCUCUGAGAGCUGGGGCCUCCAUGGCCGGUGUUCCCUGUGCCCGCACCAGCCCAGCCGAGGCACGUCAGCCACCUACCCCUUGCUGCUGAGCACAGCCUUCCCUGGGGUACAGCAUCUCCGCCUGCCACGUGGGCUUGGCCCUGCCAGGGCUGCCCAGGCUGCGUGCUUGCACUGCACAUGUCGCUGCACGGCUCACGUGGGCUUGGUGCUGUGCACUUGUGUUCGAACAAACAUACAGGAGAGAAAAAUGAACCACCGCUGGAGAAAAAUAAACCACACGUCAAGGAACAGGCAAGGGGAAAAAGCAAACUGGGUAACAAAAUAAAUGUGAACAACACGUCUCACCAGCCGGCAGCACCUGCGAUCAGCUUCUUCCUGGGUCUGUGGAAAGUCCUUUGAGAGCAGUGGCAUUAAAGAGCACAUGGAAAAUGGUUGGUACAUUAUGGAUAGUGUGGGCAAAGAGAGUGGGGGGACAAAGCAGGUGUCAUUGGUGGAGGCUGGACAGAAAGGAGAGAAGGGAUCUGGAAGAUGAGAAUAAGCUCAAGGGUCAUGCACAAACAAGACGAGCUUGUGGAGGAGGUUGAAGGACAAAGAGGCACAGCCACAUAUACUGAAGAAGCAGCAGCAAAAACUAACCUGGAUGAUGGGGCAAAAGAGAGGUGGUGUCUGCCUCCCUGGCCUUGGGUGACCCUGGGGGUGUGUGUGGCUGUCGGUGGGUCAGCACACAGACAGUGCCCCAGCUCGAGGCAGAGCAGGGGCUCUCAGAUACAGCCGCAGGGAGCGACGUGCAGCUGCUGCACGGAAAGGUACUCUUUGAAUUCCAUUGUGUUUGACUUUAGCUGUCAAAACCGCAGUCGCUGUGAAUUUUGCUUGAACCAGACAAUGCUGUGCAGGUGGAGCUGCUGGUUUUGCAACGAGAUGCAAGGCUGGGUCCCUGCCCCACGGAUUUCAGGUGUCAACCCCUCUUGUCUUAGGUAACUGCCAACUCCAGCAGAUGUGUGUGUCUCCUGUUACUGGUUUCUUUUGGCUCUGGGAUUCCUCAUCACCUCUCCCUGUGUUAAUUUGUGCUGGUAAUGUAUGUAGCAUUUCCUACCCUCAUACUUACAGGAGGCUGCAUUUCAGCUGCAAGUGAAGAGAGUGUACUUUGUAAAUUGUUAACUAGUGCUUUAGCUUGCCAGUGUGAAAGGAAAACACUCAUCUUUGCAUCACCCUGCGUCUCAGCUCAUACCAGCGUCUCUGCUCUGCAAUUCAGGCAGCUUGGCUUUACCAGCAGUAAAAGCAGAGAGUUUCGUUGCUAAGCUAAGGCAUGAUGGGGUUAACUCUGUCAGUCUGUCUGUAUAAUAUCGGCUGGAACAUCAGUUAAAGUCCUUCUGAGUGAUUCGUGGAGGUGAGUGCUGAGGGCUGGUUUCUCAGGGACUGUACCGGCAAGGAGCACGUGCGGUGUACAGUGUACUUCUGCAGACAGACAACUCUCGCGUCUUCUGCCUUUAAUCACGGCAAAUGAAAGUUUCUAAACAGGCAGAAGAUGCCAGGCUUUUGUGUUCUGCCACCGGAGCUGUCUGCGUCGCCGUCAGUGCUGGUAAUUGCAGACAGAAGCCGCUUUAUGUUAAAAUGGCAUCGGUAAUUGAAACGGAAUUCAGAAUCAGGACCCUGCAGGCACCGCUUGGUGAAAGAAGAAAUAAAGAUCUUUUGGGUCA